rnacentral:rRNA from 1 species
AGACCCGAAACCCGGUGAUCUAGCCAUGGGCAGGUUGAAGGUUGGGUAACACUAACUGGAGGACCGAACCGACUAAUGUUGAAAAAUUAGCGGAUGACCUGUGGCUGGGGGUGAAAGGCCAAUCAAACCGGGAGAUAGCUGGUUCUCCCCGAAAGCUAUUUAGGUAGCGCCUCGUGAAUUCAUCUCCGGGGGUAGAGCACUGUUUCGGCUAGGGGGCCAUCCCGGCUUACCAACCCGAUGCAAACUGCGAAUACCGGAGAAUGUUAUCACGGGAGACACACGGCGGGUGCUAACGUCCGUCGUGAAGAGGGAAACAACCCAGACCGCCAGCUAAGGUCCCAAAGUCAUGGUUAAGUGGGAAACGAUGUGGGAAGGCACAGACAGCCAGGAUGUUGGCUUAGAAGCAGCCAUCAUUUAAAGAAAGCGUAAUAGCUCACUGGUCGAGUCGGCCUGCGCGGAAGAUGUAACGGGGCUAAACCAUGCACCGAAGCUGCGGCAGCGACACUCAGGUGUUGUUGGGUAGGGGAGCGUUCUGUAAGCCUGCGAAGGUGGCCUGUGAGGGUGGCUGGAGGUAUCAGAAGUGCGAAUGCUGACAUAAGUAACGAUAAAGCGGGUGAAAAGCCCGCUCGCCGGAAGACCAAGGGUUCCUGUCCAACGUUAAUCGGGGCAGGGUGAGUCGACCCCUAAGGCGAGGCCGAAAGGCGUAGUCGAUGGGAAACGGGUUAAUAUUCCCGUACUUGGUGUUACUGCGAAGGGGGGACGGAGAAGGCUAU